rnacentral:sRNA from 1 species
CACUCUGUCACGUGUACACAGGAAAGGGCCCUGACAAGAGGAUGGGACUGCAGUUGUGGCUGCCAGGGCCCCGGCCAGGGUGAAAACAAGGAACAUUCCAGAGAAGAUCACAAGGAUGCGAAUAAAAUCGGAGCUGCACAGGGAUCUUUGGGCUGAGCUUUCUGUCUGGCUUCCCUCCUGGCCCCUCAUGUAUGCAUUCUCUCUAGCGGUGGGGAUUAAGGAGAAAACUCACGUGGCCAGUGGGUAGAGAGAGUCCGGGCAGGCAGCUGCCUGAAGUCAGCCAGAGUCUGCAUGUGCCCAGCUGUCCUGGCCUCCAGCAUCUCUGGAAAAACAGAGACAGAAUGAGUAGCAGCAGGGAACCCCAUAGGGCACAUCUGAAGGCCUGAGAGGUUGGAGUGCAGUGGCACGAUCUUGGCUCACUGCAACCUCCGCCUCCUGAGUUCAAGUGAUUCUCCUGCCUCAGCCUCCCUAGUAGCUGGGAUUACAGGACAAGGAGAGGGACAAAUUCCUUCUUGGCAUCCUUAUGGCCCUGUGACCUGCUAAUGAAUGCUGACCCUGAGUUGCUACUAGAAUUUGGUUUCCUUGUGGCUUCCCAGGAAUUGUGAGCCAUGUUGGAUAAGGACCUGCAAGGGAAGAAUGAGGAAGCCUGGGACAGUGCAGGAGGGGAGAGCACUGGUGGUAGGCAGGAGUGAUGACAAGGGUCUCCACCAAAAGGGAAAUGGAGGGGUUAAAGAAGCUGCUGGGGGGGGGGGUUCAAAACAAUGUGUUCUCACUCGUAGGUGGGAAUUGAACAAUGAGAACACUUGGACACAGGAAGGGGAACAUCACACACUGGGGCCUGUCGCCUGUCGUGGGGUGUGGGGAAGGGGGAGGGA